AGAACUGCGUGUUGCAGAUUUACGCCAGGAGUUAGAGCUACGUCGUCUGGACAAGUCUGGGAUAAAGGCCGUAUUGUACGAAAGGCUUGCAAAGGCAUUAGAAGAUGAGGGGCACAUCGUAGAUGAAUACAUUUUUGCAGACACAACAUCCCCCCAAACUAUAGAUGAAAUAAAGAGUUCCAGAAGAGCAAGAAUGAAUGGAAAACCAAAGAGAGAGG